CCUACGGGUGGCAGCAGUGAGGAAUAUUGGUCAAUGGCCGGAACGCUGAACCAGCCAUGCCGCGUGAAGGUCAGUGCCCCACGGGCGUUAAACUUCUGUUGUGCGGGAGCAAUAAUGGUCACGUGUGGCCAGACGACAGUACCGUACGAAUAAGCAUCGGCUAACUACGUGCCAGCAGCCGCGGUAAUACGGGGGAUGCAAGCGUUAUCCGGAUUUAUUGGGUUUAAAGGGUGCGUAGGCGGUGAGGUAAGUCAGCGGUGAAAUGCCCCGCUCAAAGGGGUGAAGUGCCAUUGCUACUGCCUGGCUAGAGUGCGGAUGCGGUGGGAGGAAUGUGUGGUGUAGCGGUGAAAUGCGUAGAUAUCACGCAGAACACCGAUUGCGAAGGCAUCUCACGGAUCCGCGAUUGACGCUGAGGCACGAAAGCGUGGGUAUCAAACAGGAUUAGAUACCCCAGUAGUC
rnacentral:rRNA from 1 species